rnacentral:lncRNA from 1 species
UGGUAGGACGACAGCGACAGGGUCUUGUGGAGACCAGUGCUGAGCAUCACCGAUGGUUAGUAUCGCAGUUGCGAUUAGCGACCUGUGCAUCAAGUGAUGGACUUGCAAGAGCAUUCGGUGGUCUGUUGGUACCGGAUUAAGUUUGAGGGGACAAAAUUGUCUAGCUCAAUUGGUAUUAUCAGUUGGAUCUUUUAGGCAGAUGUAAAGUGAGGUCUUGAACCUAGGGCUAUAGAUUGUGUUAGGUGACCUUUUGUUGAUGAGAUUUUGGCAGUUUGUGUGGUUACUGCUGGAGACUGUGGUCUCUAAGGUGAGAGUUUUGCUUUCGGUUGAGAUGAGGCAUCGAAAAGGCCUUUUAGCCCAAUGAUAAGUGAAAUUCACUUUUGAUUAUUAGCGCAUUGAAGAGGCAAGAUAGAGUAAAAGAGGACUUUGAAUUGCUCACGAAUACAUUAAUUUAAUGUGUGUAUUUGUAGUAGUUGCUUCUCAAAUCAACGUGACAUUUUUAGAGUCAGGAAUGUAAUAAGGGGGGAAUUUUCUUCAAAGCAGGGGCUUUGAACUGGUGUAUGGGUGGCUUUAGCUUAAAUCUAUAAUGAAGGUGGUGACACCAUAGUGGAAACUCAUAACCAGUUAAUAUAAAGGUAUUUAAACCUGUCUAGUUUGAGGCUUAUUCCCUUCUCAUCCUGAUGCCAAGGUGAGCCUGUUGUUACUCCCUUUUUGCAUGGUUGGGUUUUAGAUACCUGGUUUUGAGUGGCCUUAACUGUAAUAGGAUAUUAGACGCCUGUUUUUAUCAGGGCGACAUUCCUAAUAGACUAGGGUUAUAAUGGUUUAGACUCUAUUAUGAAGUAGUGAGUUUUUGAGAUCCAGGAGAGUUGGAACCAGGCGCAUUGUCAUUGGCUGAACUGAUGCAGCGUCCAAGUGCAUCUUUCGGUGCUCUGUUGGUGAAAUUAGAUCUCAGAUAAAUGCAUCUGACUUUGCUUUUUGAGGCUCAUAGGUUGUUGUAGUUGGACGAGUGGUUCUUGCUUUUGCUUUGUAACAAGAUUCUGGACUCAGNAACCUAGGGCUAUAGAUUGUGUUAGGUGACCUUUUGUUGAUGAGAUUUUGGCAGUUUGUGUGGUUACUGCUGGAGACUGUGGUCUCUAAGGUGAGAGUUUUGACUCAGGUCUUAGAACAAUGUUUCGUUUUCGUUCUUGGUGAGCAGGUUGAUGUUGUUGGAUACUCGGAGUUUUU